UGGGGAAUAUUGCGCAAUGGGCGAAAGCCUGACGCAGCGACGCCGCGUGAGGGAAGAAGGCCUUCGGGUCGUAAACCUCUGUCUAGAGGGAAGAAACCAUUGAGGUCGAACAGGCCUCUUUGCUGACGGUACCUCUGAAGGAAGCACCGGCUAACUCCGUGCCAGCAGCCGCGGUAAUACGGAGGGUGCGAGCGUUAAUCGGACUCACUGGGCGUAAAGCGCACGUAGGCGGUGUCGUAAGUCGGAUGUGAAAGCCCUCGGCUCAACCGGGGAACUGCAUUCGAUACUGCGACGCUUGAGUGCCGGAGAGGGGGGCGGAAUUCCAGGUGUAGGAGUGAAAUCCGUAGAUAUCUGGAGGAACACCAGUGGCGAAGGCGGCCACCUGGCCGGCAACUGACGCUGAGGGACGAAAGCGUGGGGAUCAAACA
rnacentral:rRNA from 1 species